UACGAAGGGGGCUAGCGUUGUUCGGAAUUACUGGGCGUAAAGCGUGCGCAGGCGGUUUUGCAAGCCGGAUGUGAAAUCCCCGGGCUCAACCUGGGAAUGGCAUUCGGGACUGCAAGGCUGGAGUGCGGCAGAGGAGACUGGAAUUCCUGGUGUAGCAGUGAAAUGACGUAGAUAUCAGGAGGAAUACCGAUGGCGAAGGCAGGUCUCUGGGCUGACACUGACGCUCAUGCACGAAAGCGUGGGGAGCAAACAGG
rnacentral:rRNA from 1 species